rnacentral:rRNA from 1 species
AUUGAACGCCGGCGGCAGGCCUAACACAUGCAAGUCGAGCGGAUGAAGGGAGCUUGCUCCUGGAUUCAGCGGCGGACGGGUGAGUAAUGCCUAGGAAUCUGCCUGGUAGUGGGGGAUAACGUCCGGAAACGGGCGCUAAUACCGCAUACGUCCUGAGGGAGAAAGUGGGGGAUCUUCGGACCUCACGCUAUCAGAUGAGCCUAGGUCGGAUUAGCUAGUUGGUGGGGUAAAGGCCUACCAAGGCGACGAUCCGUAACUGGUCUGAGAGGAUGAUCAGUCACACUGGAACUGAGACACGGUCCAGACUCCUACGGGAGGCAGCAGUGGGGAAUAUUGGACAAUGGGCGAAAGCCUGAUCCAGCCAUGCCGCGUGUGUGAAGAAGGUCUUCGGAUUGUAAAGCACUUUAAGUUGGGAGGAAGGGCAGUAAGUUAAUACCUUGCUGUUUUGACGUUACCAACAGAAUAAGCACCGGCUAACUUCGU